rnacentral:rRNA from 1 species
CCCUGUCUCAGUUCGGAUUGGAGUCUGCAACUCGACUCCAUGAAGCUGGAUUCGCUAGUAAUCGCGCAUCAGCCAUGGCGCGGUGAAUACGUUCCCGGGCCUUGUACACACCGCCCGUCAAGCCAUGGGAGUCGGGAGUGCCUGAAGUUCGUGACCGUAUAGGAGCGACCUAGGGCAAGACUGAUGACUGGGGCUAAGUCGUAACAAGGUAAC